UACGGAGGGGGCUAGCGUUGUUCGGAAUUACUGGGCGUAAAGCGCACGUAGGCGGCUUUGUAAGUCAGGGGUGAAAGCCCGGAGCUCAACUCCGGAACUGCCUUUAAGACUGCAUCGCUAGAACGUCGGAGAGGUGAGUGGAAUUCCGAGUGUAGAGGUGAAAUUCGUAGAUAUUCGGAAGAACACCAGUGGCGAAGGCGACUCACUGGACGACUGUUGACGCUGAGGUGCGAAAGCGUGGGGAGCAAACAGG
rnacentral:rRNA from 1 species